UGGGGAAUCUUGGACAAUGGGGGAAACCCUGAUCCAGCAAUGCCGCGUGAAUGAAGAAGGCCUUAGGGUUGUAAAGUUCUUUCACCUGUGAAGAUAAUGACGGUAGCAGGAGAAGAAGCCCCGGCUAACUCCGUGCCAGCAGCCGCGGUAAGACGGAGGGGGCUAGCGUUGUUCGGAAUGACUGGGCGUAAAGGGCGCGUAGGCGGUUUUUUAAGUGAGGCGUGAAAGCCCUGGGCUUAACCCAGGAGGUGCGUUUCAUACUGGAAAGCUUGAGUACGAGAGAGGAAAGCGGAAUUCCUCGUGUAGAGGUGAAAUGCGUAGAUAUUAGGAAGAACACCAGUGGCGAAGGCGGCUUUCUGGCUCGUAACUGACGCUGAGGCGCGAAAGCGUGGGGAGCAAACA
rnacentral:rRNA from 1 species